CAUAUGACUCUCAGCAAUGGAUAUCUCAAUUCUCUCAUCAAUGAAGAACAUAGCAAAAUGCGAUACCUGGUGUGACUUGUAGAAUCCUACAAACCACCGAGUCUUUGAAUGCAAGUUGCACCCGAGGCCACCUGAUAGAGGGCACGCCUGCCUGGGCAUCAUGC
rnacentral:rRNA from 1 species